UGAUGUUUGGAAGGAAUUCCUGUGAAAGACUUGGGCGUUUGCAGAUGCAGUCUUCAGUGUGAAUGUUCCAUUUGCCCUUUGGGCUGGAUGAGAUUAAGAUGAAGGCUGGCACUGCUACUCGUGUUGACUGAUUAUAAGCUCUUCGCCUGUAUUUAAAAAUAUGCUAAGAAAGGGUGUUUAAAAAUUGUAUGUGCUUUCCUGAUCCUGCUCUUUCAUUUUCUCAGCAGUAUUUAUUGAGCAGUUAUUAUGUGCCAGGUGCUGUGCUGGGCACUGUCAGGGGGACCCCAUGGUCCCACCUUAGGAGGGGGACCGUCUGUAAAGCUCUGUGUCAAGUGAUGGUUUGUGUGCGGAGGAGGCACUAGGCAGGUAGGCCUGUGCAUGGGAGGAGGCGCAGGAAGGCCUGGGGAGUACGACUGGAACAGAGGCUCUGUGUGGAGAGGCUCUGGGGGCCCUAAGGUGAAGGCCUGCCUGGCGUGCUGGAGAAGGAGCAGGAAGGUGUCCGUGGGGCGGGGGCUGUAGGUGGGGGUGGGGGGGCCCUGUCGGGUUAGUCCGGGGGCCUGUGGACCCAUAUUCAGGGCCUUGCCAUCUGCUCUGCCUGAGCAGCUUCUGAGGAGAGGAGGGCCGCCGGUUCUGUUAGGAGAGUCCAGGCCCGCCUCGUGAUUAAAAAGCAAGCAGCAGCAGUGGUGAGAGGCGGUGAGAUCCUGGGCAUGUACUGAACAAAGAGCCCAGGGAACUGUUCAUGGAGUGGCUGGGGGUGAGGGCGGGCAGGGCGGAGAGGAAAGAGGGAAGGACCGGGAGGGACUCAGUGGUCCUUGAGGGUUGGUAGUAGGGGGCCUUUUCAGUAUCCCCGAGUCUCUUCAGUUCAUCAGACUGUUUUGAAAUAUAAAUUGUUCAAACUUUAUAUGGUGAGUAAAGAGAUGGAAACAUCUUAAAGAUGUCACAUGUUAAAAACUAAAGGAGUUCCAGUCGUGGCUCAGCAGAUAGGAACCUGACCAGCAUCCAUGAGGACAGAGGUUCCAUCCCUGGCCUCGCUCAGUGGGUUAAGGAUCCAGCUUUGAGCCGUGAGCCAUGGUGUAGGUCACAGACUCGGCUCCAAUCUGGUGUGGCUGUGUCUGUGGUGUAGGCCGGUGGCUACAGUUCUGAUUCAACACCUAGCCUGGGAAACUCCAUGUGUCGUGGUUCCCGCUGUGGCUCAGUAGUAACGAACCCAACUAGUAUCCACGAAGACACGUAUUUGAUCCCUGGCCUCGAUCAGUGGGUUAAAGAUUCCUUAUUGCUACGAGCUGUGGUGUAGAUCACAAAUGUGGCUCAGAUCCCGUGUUUCUGUGGCUGUGGUGUAGGCUGGCAGCUAUAGCUCUGAUUCAACCAACAGCCUGGGAACUUCCAUAUACCAUGGGUGUGGUCCUAAAAAGAAAAAACAAGAAAAAUACAUGCACCCCAGUGUUCAUAGCACUGUUGACAGUAGCCAGGACAUGGAAGCAAACAUAGAUAAAGAUGAAUGAAGUACUACUCAGCCAGAAAAAAAGAACGAAAUCAUAUUAUUUGCAGCAACAUGGAAGGACUUAGAGAUCAUAGUACUAAGUAAGUCAGACAGAAAAAGACAAAUACCAUGUAAUAUCAUUUAUAUGUGGAAUCUAAAAUGUGAUACAAGAGUUCCCUGGUGGUCCCCCCAAAAAGUGAUACAGAUGAACUUCUUUUCAAAACAAAAACAGAUGCACAGACAUAGAAAACAAACUUAGGGUUACCUAAGGGGAAAAGGUGUGGGGGAGGCAUAAAUUAAGAGUUUGGGAUUAGCAGAUACCAACUACAUGUAUAAAAUAGAUGGACAACAAGGACCUACUGUAUGGCCUAGGGAUCUGUAUUCAGUAUCUUGUGGUUAAAGCAUAAUGGAAGAUAUAUGAAAAUGAAUGUAUUUGUAUGUGUGUCUGUAUGUAUUUUAUAUAUAUAUAUAUAUCUGAAUCGCUUUGCUGUUUGCUGUAUACCAGAAACUAACACAACAUUGUAAAUCAACUGUACUUCAGUUUUUUUUUUUAAGUCAAAUUGGUAUUGUUUUCUAUCAUGGAACUUUUAUGUGAAGAGAUAAGAGAUUUGAUGGAUAAAAUUUUACAGUUUUUAGGAGUUCCCCUGUGGUGCAGUGGGCUAAGGGUCCGGCAUUGUCACUGCUGUGACUUGGGUCACUGCUGUUGUGUGGGUUCAAUCCCUGGCCUGGGAAUUUCCACAUGCCACAGACUCGGCCAAAAUAAAAUAAAAUUCUGCAAAAAGCCUUUGUGGAAAAAGACAAAAGGAGAUGAAAAGCAGGGCUGCACGUAGACAGUGUGCCCCAUCCUAGGUCCUUGUCAGUGUGGCUGUGCCGUGCAAGCCCCUGCUUCAGUUCACCUCCCUUUGCUUUUGGUCUCUCUUCUCCUCCUUCUUUCUGGUGCCUCCCCCACUCCCCCUUCCUGUUCUGUCACCUCCCCGUCCCCUCACUGGCCAGGACUCUCUCCCCUCUCCCCUCACUUCUCCCAUGACCUUUCAUUCCCUCAGGAAUUUUCAGAUUCCAGUGCAGAAGCUGGAAUCAUGCUUAAAGGAAAGCUGGCUUCCUUUUCCUUCAGCACUUGCUUGUAUUAGGCUCCCUGUGGACCACGGCCCCACUGCCCUCCCCCCACCCCCCACUUUAGCAGCUGGUGGAUGGCAAGUGGGGGAGGGUCUCACACUUUGGGGAAAGCCCAGCUUAAUUCUGGAAAAUGAAACCUGACCCCACAGUGCUGCCCGUGCUGGGUACUGGAGGAUGAUCCUUAACUGCAUAAACCCUGGUCAGUUUGGGCUCAUUUUUAUCACGCUUGCCUCUUGCUUUGGGGUAAGUGUUGAGAAGUGUUCUGGCAGCCAUCCAGUGCUCGCAGAGCCUAGGGAUCAAAUGGUUCCCUUAGUCCUAGGAAGUUAAGCUUCACUUUGUAAAACCUCAGAAGUGAGUGAGAGAGUGAUUGAGUCAUUGAUAGGCAGAUGAAUGUAUUCAAAUCAAGUCUUUGAAUCAUUUUAUGUGGCAACAGAGCACGUAAACCAAACCAGCAAAGACGCUUAACCUUAGCUUGGUUUGGCUGUGACUAAACACCUGCUCUGUGCCUGCGGCGCUCUUUUGUUGAAGUUCCCACCUUUUCUCACCCCAGGAGUCCCAAGGUUAAGCAGAUCCAAUUCAGAUCCAUAUGUGGACGUACCUCUUUUUUUCCUUCUCAGUGUUCUGUAUUCUUGGACAUUCUCGUUGUUUUUAAAUUUCAGUGCCUCCGGUAGGUGAGGUAGUUAGACCCAACCUCUGACCUAACUCCUUUGGUAGAGAACUCGCUUUCUUCUACGCGGAUGUGAACUGAACACUUUGAGUGCGGCUGUUGGUGGAAGGAACCCCAGAGGCCUGACUCCCUGGCUCUUCUGGGAGUGGGCGGCCUGCACACCCCCCCAGCCCUGUGGGUCCUUUGCUCUGCGAGCAGACCCAUAUCUCAGACCCCAACCGUUUUCAAGGUCCCCGAAGCUCUGAGGCCCCCGAGGGGCGGACCCCCCUCCUGACCUGCAGCUCCAGCUCCCGUUGGUCCCUUGAGUGGAGCCUCUUCCUGUUCCCUUCCCGCCUUGACACCAGCUCUGUGCCUCACUGUCUUGUUUCUCAGUAGAUUGUCCUCCUAGUUUGUAGACUUACUAAGAGUGAGGACGCUUCAUUGGUGAGAAUAACGUCUCUGCCAGUGAGGGGCUUGAGGAAUACCGACAACUCCAGAGGCAAAAUUACUGUUUUUAAAGAUUCUUUGCUGUAAUUGACAUCAUCCUCAAUUUAGCACCUUAAAACUUAUAAUAGUUAAUAAUUAUGCAUCAGCCUUGAGUCCUUUGUGGCUCAGUGGUUAAUGAUCCCGACUAGGACCCAUGAGGAGGUAAGUUUGAUCCCUGGCCUUGCUCAGUGGGUUAAGGAUCCAGUGUUGCCGUGAGCUGUGGUCCACAGCAACGGGGGAUCCGAGCUGCGUCUGCCACUUACACCGAAGUUCACGGCAAUACCACAUCCUUAACCCACUGAGUGAGGCCCAGGAUCAAACCUGCAUCCUCAUGGAUGCUAGUCAGAUUUGUUAACUGCUGAGCCACGAUGGGCACUCCAGGGCUGAGAUAUUUUAAAUUUUGUGGAACUGAAGCCAGGUUUGUGGCAAUUUCUGUCAAAUUCUAGGCCAGAUCGUGACAAAUGAACUCUGCUCUAGUGGAGAGACUGUGAGAAACGCCUUAGUAACUAGCUUGUGGCAGUCUUUCAGGCAAACAGAAUAAGCCAGGGCAGAUUGGAGGAGCAUUUUUGCAUCAGUUCGUGAAGCUUUCUGAGCGCCCUGGUAAGGCGGUGAUGGAGCCAGAAGAAGGGGCUGGCUGCCAUGCUGGGGAGCUACACUGAGUUGGUUAACCAGUUUCACUUACAUUAUGCUGAAGAUACUGUUCCUUUUCAGGAAGCCAUCCAAAUCAGUAGAACUUCAGAAGAGAAAGAGGAGGAAAAUACAGAUCAGAACU
rnacentral:lncRNA from 1 species